rnacentral:lncRNA from 1 species
GUUAUAUGUUUGUCUUGUUAGCAGGACAAGACCAAAAGUCCUAGGUACAUAAAGAAGGUGUGUGGAAGUGAUUUAUGAAGGAAAUAUAUAUGUUUACUUGUUGGUUUCAAGUUUGUUAUAAAAGGUUUACGGGAAUAGAGGUUUCAUUCCUUCUGAUUUUAAUUCUACAAGACAUCUCUGUUAAUUGACUUACAAAAAGUUUUAAAUAGUCUUAUUUAUAAUUAUAAACCUAAAAUUAUAAAGAGAUUAUAAUUCCUUUGGGCUAAAUAUAUUUGAGUGCACCCUAGUUUUAGAAAUUGUCUUAUAUCUUUGUUUUUUGUCCAAUCGUACAGCUGUUUUGUUUAUAGAUAAAGGUUAUUAAGUUCAAGGCAUGCUCCCCUUGGUGAACAAAGGAGCAGCCGCAUGGAAAUAUUUUCCAGUCUUUGUUCACUAGGGGGACCUCAACAGUUUUCAUCUUACAACAGACUGACCCGAUAGUUUUCAUAGCCUUAUAAAAGACUUACAGGAAUAAAUAUUAUUUAAAUAUAUUAUUAUACUGUUUAUAUCAAUUGUCAUCAAAGGGAUAAAUUCUAAAUAUGUUAUUAUGGUGUGCUUACACUGGUCAUUUUCAAAGGACUAAAUAUCCUGUAAAAAACAACAAUAACAAGGUUUUAUUUUUUCUAGUGUACUAAAUGUAUUUGUACUUUCUGACUGUACAGGUUUUCUAAUAUUUGUUUAUGAUAAUAAGCUCUUUUUGGUUCAGGUAUUUGCCUUUCCAUACACUCUAGCUAUUUAUGAUAACAGAUACAUAUAUGGGCUAUUUUCUUUAGAUGGUAUCCUAUCAAAAGAUUAUUUAUUUAUUUGUUUUUUAAAGAUAAUAAUUUAGGUAAAAACUUUUGGUGUUUUUAAAAAAUGAGUACGUUUAACAAUGGCUAUUUUAUAUCAAGAUGGACAUUUAAAUGUGUUACAAAGGUAAAGUCAUCAUAAUUGUCAUGUUAAAAUAUUAUUUGUGGCUCUUUUUCUGUUAAUAUUCUACAGGAAUUCAACAACUAAAAAACAACCAUGACUGAUAACAGUAAGAGCUCUCUAUAUUUUAAAUUCCAAAAUGCUUGCUAUUCCGGUAAAACUAUAAUAGUUAAGUUCAUUAUUCUUGUUACGAUGCUAACGCUAUUGACCUUCUCUUCUGGAUGUUCAACAACUAAAGUUUGGAGACCAGAACUAAAAGGUAACUGGGCUAUGAGGACAGCCAAUAUUUUGGCCCUGGCCCCUCAAGGUCAACAAAGUUCCAGGACAUGAGGGAACCUUCUCUACAGGGUCCUACAUCUUUGGAACGAUUGAGGGCAUUCACCAGCCAGACAGUCACAGAGUUCAUCAUGGCAGGGUACCAGCCAGUACGGCAAAAGGAAGAGGUCCCCACUUGCCACCGGCCUCAUGAGAUCCAGAGACAGCCCGGCAGAUCUAUUCCCCUAAUAAAGGCUUGCUGUGGCCUGGUCUGGUCUUGGUCUUUGGCCCUUUUACCUGACACCAUCUUAAUUGUAUAUAAAUCUAAAACUCGUAAUAUAUACAAGCUGUACUAUGAGUUGUUGUUUUUUUGGUUUUUCUUUCUUUUGGUACCGGGGAUUGAACUCAGGACCUUGUGCUGGUGAGGCAGGCAUGGUGCCACUGAGCUAAAUCCCCGGCCCUUCAAGCUCUGUUAUGUACACGUAGCCACUCCUCAAAUGAUUGUGAACUGCACAAUAAAAAUAAACAACAAUGUAAACUGCAGGCCUAAUUUCUAACACUGAAUCUCCCACCCUCAGCCAUGAUAGAACCCUAAAUGUAUUCCUAAACCUCAACCAAAUCCCAACAAAAACCACAACCCAAACUGCACCUUGCCCCUUCGUCCUAAGCCACUUCCUCACCCUAACUGUAGCGAAACUUUGAGGAUGCGACCUCACUUCCUUG